rnacentral:rRNA from 1 species
CGGUACCUGCAGAAAAAGCACCGGCUAACUACGUGCCAGCAGCCGCGGUAAUACGUAGGGUGCAAGCGUUAUCCGGAAUUAUUGGGCGUAAAGAGCUCGUAGGCGGUUUGUCGCGUCUGCUGUGAAAUCCGGAGGCUCAACCUCCGGCCUGCAGUGGGUACGGGCAGACUAGAGUGCGGUAGGGGAGAUUGGAAUUCCUGGUGUAGCGGUGGAAUGCGCAGAUAUCAGGAGGAACACCGAUGGCGAAGGCAGAUCUCUGGGCCGUUACUGACGCUGAGGAGCGAAAGGGUGGGGAGCAAACAGGCUUAGAUACCCUGGUAGUCCACCCCGUAAACGUUGGGAACUAGUUGUGGGGUCCAUUCCACGGAUUCCGUGACGCAGCUAACGCAUUAAGUUCCCCGCCUGGGGAGUACGGCCGCAAGGCUAAAACUCAAAGGAAUUGACGGGGACCCGCACAAGCGGCGGAGCAUGCGGAUUAAUUCGAUGCAACGCGAAGAACCUUACCAAGGCUUGACAUAUACGAGAACGGGCCAGAAAUGGUCAACUCUUUGGACACUCGUAAACAGGUGGUGCAUGGUUGUCGUCAGCUCGUGUCGUGAGAUGUUGGGUUAAGUCCCGCAACGAGCGCAACCCUCGUUCUAUGUUGCCAGCACGUAAUGGUGGGAACUCAUGGGAUACUGCCGGGGUCAACUCGGAGGAAGGUGGGGAUGACGUCAAAUCAUCAUGCCCCUUAUGUCUUGGGCUUCACGCAUGCUACAAUGGCCGGUACAAAGGGCUGCAAUACCGCGAGGUGGAGCGAAUCCCAAAAAGCCGGUCCCAGUUCGGAUUGAGGUCUGCAACUCGACCUCAUGAA